ACGGUUAGCGUUACCGCUGACCUUUAUCUUAGAUCUAAAUUCUAAUUUAAUUACUAUUAUCUACCUAAAUAAAUAUACUUAAAUAAUAAAAUAUCUAAAUCUACGUAAACUACCUAACUAAAUAACUUAAUUAAAUAAUUCAUAAUGUUCUACACUAAUCAAAUAAAUAAAAUAAUAAAUCUACAAGCAAACCCGCGCGAAACAAGUUGUUAAAUAUUUCUUUUGUUCUCUGUCGAGCGGGCGGGCUGUUUUUUAUGCAUGCGCAAGCGACGCGCCUACGGCCUCGAUGCUCCCGCCGCGUCUCGUAGUCCGAGCCAGAGCGUUAUUGAGCACGGACGUAUCGCUGUCCGUCACCGCCGGACCCGCGAUGUACGUAACUUUAUAAAACUCCAAAAUGUAAUCGCGUAUUCGUGAACCCCGCUACCGGGGUUCACGUUCACCUACAUCUUCUACGCCUACCUACUACACCAUGCAUGGUCACCACUGCCGAACCUACCACCUGGCUCUUCAACCCGGCAGAGCUGCCUGCCGUGUCGGACGGCCCGUGCGCACACUCUAAGUGGCCCUACACCACAGUGCGUACGGCCCUAGCCGUCUGGCGCGUCGACGACUCUGCGGGCCUACCAACUCGAGGAACCAAACCACAUAACCAUCAAUGCUAGCGAGGACAGUGGUUUGAAUAUACUACCACCGGUGACGAAUCUCGUGCGAUACGAUAGUUUGCUCGACAACCCACUCCCUAAGAGUUCUCACUACUUUAAAUCUAAAUAAAUUACUUGUUAACCUAAA